GAACACCAAACUGUUGUAAAAUAGCUAAAUAAACAUUUUGUAACAGAAAGUACUAGUUUUUUAAGGAUCUGGUCUCUUCGAGUGGACAACAGUCAUUUGUAAAACAGUGUCAUGUUUUAAAUGUACUGGUCAGUGUGCAGCCCUUCACAGAAGGGUCCUUUCUGUGAUCCCUACAGACGGGUAUAGAGGCAAAUCCCAGGAGAUCAGCAGUUUCUGUAGUACUUACACCAGCCUUUUAAAUUACCCUUCUAUUCAAACUAAAUAUAAGUAGUGAUAUUGAAUUUUAAAUAAUUAAUUUGGAAACAGUCUGGAAUUUUCCCAAAAAUGUAAUUUUUAUGACCGCUAACAUAAUUAAGACAUGAAAAAAAAUGGCUACAAACUCUUGUGUUUACUCAAUCCACCACCACCAACAGCACCACCAAAAACUUCACCAACAACACCAACCAUUGAAGCAACAGCAUCAACAGCACCGACCAUUGAAGCAACACCAUCAACAGCACCGACCAUCGAAGCAACACCAUCAACAGCACCGACCAUCGAAGCAACACCAUCAACACCACCGACCAUCGAAGCAACACCAUCAACACCACUGACCAUCGAAGCAACACCAUUAACACCACUGCCAACAGCACCGACCAUCGAAGCAACACCAUCAACACCACUGCCAACAGCACCGACCAUCGAAGCAACACCAUCAACACCACUGUCAACAGCACCGACCAUCGAAGCAACACCAUCAACAGCACCAGCCAUCGAAGCAACACCGACCAUUGAAGCAACAACAAAAAACCCAAGCACAGCAUCAACAACAAAAACAACAUCGUCAACAACAAGUACAACCGCAGCAUCAUCCCUGGUGAAUUCACAGCAGAAGAGUUCUCUUCUAGAGUAACAACCUAUCUCCUGGAUUCUCCUCCAUGCUCUUGAGAUUGUGCUGGGACACAGCAAACCUGCUGACAAUAACACGUAUCCUGGAUGAGAUGGACUGCCUGUGCAACCUCUGUAUCCGUAUCGUCUCAUGCUACCAGCAGCCAAAUGCAAAACUAGUGAACAAACAAUAAGAAAAGAUGAGAAGGGAAAAGUGUCCCCCACAUGUAAAACCAUUAUCUCUCAUUGCUGCCCUUGUAGUGCACCUGUCGUCAAUUUCAUUAACACUAAAGCAGAUGAAACUGAUCAACAUCCCCCCUCUGGUACUUACAACUGAGCAGAUCAGUGACCUACAAGUUUAACUAACUUGAUGCUGUACUCUGAUUUAAAAACUGUUCCUUGCAGUUGUACUCAUAGUCUUUUCUUUCUCCCAUAGGUUCAGAGAAAGAAAUAUCUUCAGAAAAAGAAACGGGAAGUGACAUCCAAACGAUUUCAAUAGUUCUUAUCACGACGAACAUCAUUGUCCCCAUAGCUGUUUAUCUGUACAUGCGUUACCAGAUUCAACAGAUUCGAAACUUGAGGGAAGAAGAAGGAAUGACAGAGAUACAGCAAAACCCAUUUCCCACAGAUGUUGAAGAGGGUUCCAAUUGAUUAAUGACGCCCGAGAGUUCCAUCAUCAUAAAUUCACCUGAAAACACCAUAAUUUAAAGCCCUUGCCCAAAUAGAACACACCAUUUGAAGUUCUGAACUGCUAAGAAUCUGGAUAAAUCUGGAUACGAGGAUCUGCCUGACACAGCUUCGUAACAGUCCAGGUGAAGUAAAGGUGGUCUGUGAAGGCCUCUGCGCCCAAAGGUGGAUAAGCUUCCAAUGUGAAGAAGAGUGAGACCAAACAAGCCGCAGCAUGCCUGUUCAUGUAACUGCUCUGCAGUCGCACAUCAAGAUGGUUUUCUGUCCGCCUCAUGCAAAAAGUUUUACUGCUGUGCUGGUUAUAAGUGACCAAGGUCUUGCCAGAAGAAGUGCACUGCAGAAAGUCCAUUUAACACGAGCAAUAACGAGUUGGUUUUUGGUCAUAUUUAGAAUAAUUUUAAACACAAAGACACACAUUAUGCAUGUAGUCAGUGAACAUAUAUAUAUGUGUGUGUGUGUGUUAAAGUGUUCAACUGUGCAAAAAAGAAAAAAAGUUACGUUUUUAUGGCUAAUGGACUAAUUGCCUAUGUUCAUGUGUACAUAUUUGGGAAAAGGUUUGGUGGCUUUUUUUCUUUUCUUUGUAUGUAUUAAGUAUGUGAUAAAGCUUCAGCUGAAAAGCUAAAGGUGCCUAAAAAAAUUUGAAUAUUAUAUAUUUUUUUAUUGCACAAUGCACAUUAAGCUAAGCCACCAUAAGAAAAUUGAACUUUUACCUUUUUCCAAAUUAAAGCAAGCUGUGCGAGCUUUACCUCUAAAAUGUGAUCUUGUCAGUUGUUCUAGAUACAGUCUUCACACAUGCAUUUGUGUUUGUGUUUCAUGGAAGUAGAAAUAGAAAAUUCCCUACCACAAUGCUUUUAUUAUUUUCAUAAAUCACUGCAAAAACAAACAGAUGUGAAAAAAGCUGUCUUCUCUGCACUUUCUCAUUAUCAUACUGUCACGUUAUUUCAAUCUUAUAUAUGUCUAAUUAUCCCAAAAUAACAUCUUGUCUGUCCGUCACAUAUGAAAGACUGUAGACAUGGUUCUGUGUUUUCAGUGUUUGGCUUUUGAUGCAUUUGUGGAAUAUAUUUUAGUUUUUUUUAUGUAAAAAAAUAUAUUUUUAUAUAUUUUUUAAGCCAGCGAGUUUAUUUAUUGUGUUUGUAAUAGAGUCUGAGUAGGAGUAUUUUUUUUUUUUUUUUUUUGGAAUGUGUAGAUGUGAGUUUAGACAAGCAUCUAUGAUUCCCAUACAUACUCCUUGGUGUGGAACAAAAAUGUCCAGACUGAAAAGAGAAAAAUGUACGCAGAUAAUGGAGUCAUUGGUUGGCACAACUGUUAGAAAAGACCCGGUGAACAUAUCUGAACACAGGAGCCAGACUUGUAAAGUGUAUAAAAAGCUGUAUUUAAAACCAACAAAUAAAUAAGAAAUGAAUAAAAAAACAAAAAUCAAAUAAAAACAUUUAUUUAAAACAGUCACAUUAAGCAAUCAUCUACACAGUUUUACCAUCUGCAUGUCACAUUUUCAUUUGACUGUACUGGACUCUUUGACAAACUGGUUUUGUCUGUUUGCCACCAGUUCAUUUGAAGGUGAUGUGUAUAGAUGUA